rnacentral:rRNA from 1 species
GUACUGUCCGCCCGUCGGAUUCAGUCCGCCUGGGCGGCGUCCGCGGCGAUCGCGCAUCUCCUCCGCGGGAGCGCGUCGACGUCGGAACGCCGUUCGGCGGCCGUACUUUCGGCGGGCGGAGCGCCACGACCGGUUCGCGCGCGGCCAGAAACUCCCCGGCAAGGUGGCCGGCGCCUCGGCGUCGGACCUUACAGGCCGGGUGAGCGUUGGACCGUGUGCGGACCGAGGAAGCUUUCUCUCGGCGGUGCGUCGACCGCCGGGCGUGCGGGCGCGUUCGACUCGGGGGGACUGGUGUCCAGUGCCCUCGGACCGCGCGUCCGUACCGCCCGGACGGCCCGGCGCGUCGCUCGGGGUCGGUGGCGAAUCGGCCGGCAACCUGUCCGACCCGUCUUGAAACACGGACCAAGGAGUCUAACAUGUGCGCAAGUCGUUGGGCGUUACGAAACCCGAAGGCGCAAUGAAAGUGAAGGCCCGGCCUCGCGUCGGCCUAGGUGGGAUGCGGACGUCUCGGCGUCCGUCGCACCACCGGCCCGUCUCGUUCGCCACGUCGAGGAGGCGGAGCAAGAGCGUACACGUUGGGACCCGAAAGAUGGUGAACUAUGCCUGAGUAGGGCGAAGCCAGAGGAAACUCUGGUGGAGGUCCGUAGCGAUUCUGACGUGCAAAUCGAUCGUCAAACUUGGGUAUAGGGGCGAAAGACUAAUCGAACCAUCUAGUAGCUGGUUCCUGUCGAAGUUUCCCUCAGGAUAGCUGACGCUCAUCGCCGGCAGUUUUAUCCGGUAAAGCGAAUGAUUGGAGGCCUUGGGGACGAAACGUCCUCAACCUACUCUCAAACUUUAAAUGGGUAAGACGUCCGACUCGCUCGAUUGGAGCCC